rnacentral:rRNA from 1 species
GAUGAACGCUGGCGGCGUGCCUAAUACAUGCAAGUCGAGCGAACAGACGAGGAGCUUGCCCCUCUGACGUUAGCGGCGGACGGGUGAGUAACACGUGGAUAACCUACCUAUAAGACUGGGAUAACUUCGGGAAACCGGAGCUAAUACCGGAUAAUAUAUUGAACCGCAUGGUUCAAUAGUGAAAGACGGUUUUGCUGUCACUUAUAGAUGGAUCCGCGCCGCAUUAGCUAGUUGGUAAGGUAACGGCUUACCAAGGCAACGAUGCGUAGCCGACCUGAGAGGGUGAUCGGCCACACUGGAACUGAGACACGGUCCAGGCUCCUACGGGAGGCAGCAGUAGGGAAUCUUCCGCAAUGGGCGAAAGCCUGACGGAGCAACGCCGCGUGAGUGAUGAAGGUCUUCGGAUCGUAAAACUCUGUUAUUAGGGAAGAACAAAUGUGUAAGUAACUAUGCACGUCUUGACGGUACCUAAUCAGAAAGCCACGGCUAACUACGUG